AUUUAUCAGAUGUACCAACAUACAAGUGGUGCAGGUUGUCUCAUUUAUCAGAUGUACCAACAUACAAGUGGUGCAGGUUGUCUCAUUUAUCAGAUGUACCAACAUACAAGUGGUGCAGGUUGUCUCAUUUAUCAGAUGUACCGACAUACAAGUGGUGCAGGUUGUCUCAUUUAUCAGAUGUACCGACAUACAAGUGGUGCAGGUUGUCUCAUUUAUCAGAUGUACCGACAUACAAGUGGUGCAGGUUGUCUCAUUUAUCAGAUGUACCGACAUACAAGUGGUGCAGGUUGUCUCAUUUAUCAGAUGUACCGACAUACAAGGGGUGCAGGUUUUAU